rnacentral:rRNA from 1 species
CCUACGGGAGGCAGCAGUGGGGAAUAUUGCACAAUGGGGGAAACCCUGAUGCAGCGACGCCGCGUGAGUGAGGAAGUAUUUCGGUAUGUAAAGCUCUAUCAGCAGGGAAGAAAAUGACGGUACCUGACUAAGAAGCCCCGGCUAACUACGUGCCAGCAGCCGCGGUAAUACGUAGGGGGCAAGCGUUAUCCGGAUUUACUGGGUGUAAAGGGAGCGUAGACGGCUGUACAAGUCUGAAGUGAAAGCCCGUGGCUCAACCGCGGAACUGCUCUGGAAACUGUAAAGCUGGAGUACUGGAGAGGCAG